CAGCUUGGAGAUGAAGAGCAGGCCGUCGCGGUGCUGCGCGCAGAAGGAGCUGGGACACAUCUCGCAGAAGGACAGCGCCUCCUUGCCGCAGAUGUCGCACUGGUGACGCGGACACUCCCAGCGUCCUGAGAAGAACAGCGUUAUUGUGGAACCGCCUACCAGCCGGGAUGUCCAGCAGCGCGAAGAGCCCGACGCGCGUGUCGCCGCUCACCGUCCACUUCUGCGUCUCGCAGUUGGGCUGGCAGCAGUGGUUCAUGAAGCGAGCCUCGUUUCCCUUCGGACCGGCGUCGAUGAUGCGGUCCUAACAAGUCAAGACCAUAUUUAUAUUUCAUGCAAAGUACUAAAUCUAUUGCGUAUGAAUACAUUUAUCUUGACAAGCACUAAAGAGAAGGCAUCGUUGGAUGGAUUAUUAGUGCUGUUUGGUAUUUAUAUUCAAUACAGAAUGCUAAAUCCAUAAUUUGUCUCAUAAUUCUUAGUGUUUGUUUUGCUUUAAUAUUCAAUAAAGAGUACUACAGUGGA